rnacentral:rRNA from 1 species
UACGUAGGGUGCGAGCGUUGUCCGGAAUUAUUGGGCGUAAAGAGCUCGUAGGCGGUGUGUCGCGUCGGCCGUGAAAACCUGGGGCUCAACUCUGGGCGUGCGGUCGAUACGGGCAUCACUUGAGUUCGGCAGGGGAGACUGGAAUUCCUGGUGUAGCGGUGAAAUGCGCAGAUAUCAGGAGGAACACCAGUGGCGAAGGCGGUGCUCUGGGCCGGAACUGACGCUGAGGAGCGAAAGCGUGGGGAGCAAACAGG